ACCUCCCAGAGUAUCUUCGGGGUGUAUCCGAGUGAAAAGAAUGAAAAGCGCCCGAAAACGCACGAAGUAGCGCACUGAACAUUAUACAAUGUGCAUCGCAGAGUUAACCCCAAAAAGAAGGGGAGCGCGAGCAAAAAGUGAAAUCGAGAGCGACAUCAUGGACUUCAUGGAUGUGGAUACGGAUACGGGUGAUGCCGCCAUCUGUGGCGCGGCAAGUGCAAACCGUUGGAUACCAUAAGAUUGAAGUGGAUGCGAGAUAAGCACCGACCAUCUGGGAAGUAAAUCAACUGCAGAUUUUGAUUUAUCUCCGCAACUAAUGAAGCUGUUCAAGUGGAAACCAAGUGCCUACUUUGUCCGGCCAAAUAAACAACCCUCCGCCACUUCAAGGGUGGUAAAUAGAGCCAGAAGGGCCUGAAGACGAGGCUUCCGGCAGGAUGAAGAUCGAGUUCCCGAUAGAAGGAACGCAUGUGCACGUGCUGCAACCAAAGCAAACAUAUGCCCCCUCAUGAAACUCAACACCAGACAUAAAACUAUAUCGCUGAAUCGAAGUUCGAGGGGGGUAAAAGGACGGGGGCGCGCACAAGUGCUCAUUAACAAUUACAAACAGACGAUCAGUCAGUCGAGCGUACUACAUUUUCCAAUAAAACUAUUAUAAAUGCGCAUAAAUUUCCCCCAAGAAAUUUAAAUCGGAGACAAUAGCAAGGCAUGAAUGAGUUGAAUACGUUAAGUAAUCAUCGGCAUUCCCAGCACAAAGCACCCUGUAAAUAAAUAUACCUCCUAUCUAUUAUCAGCUGUUUUCGAAAGCCAACCCAAAUGUGCCUCAGUGUGUGUUGAUUAAAUCAACCUCAAACAGACAGGGAAUGUAAAAAAAAAAAAAAAAGAAAAAAACAAAUUCAAAUAUCGCUUUCAAUGAACAACAAUUGGCUUGUUUACAUGUAGAUACGAAAAAGUAUAUAUAAAACAAACGCAAAACUUGUCGCUUUGUGUUUUCUGCUACGUUUAUUUGUCAAUUAAUUAUUGUCGGCUUCAAAAGACCAGCGGAUGCCAAUGUCGUGGGCGCUGAAAGGGGUUGAAAUGAAUAGACGAGGAGGUCGUGAUCAUAAUCCAUAAAUUAAAAUACCAGCCACAGCAGCCCGAUCGCAAUGAGAGAAAAUUAUAAUUGAAAUUCAGCUGGCGAAAGAGAAAGAUAUUGGGUGGAAAAUUCACAAUUCUUGGCAUACUUUUAGGUGUGUUCCAGAAUUUCCCUUUCUUAUUGAUUGUUCGGUCUGUAUUCUAAUUGAAUUUAGUUGUUUUUUUCCCCAAUUGCAGGGCAUGACUCAUCCACUGAUUUGCAAAGUCAAGUAUGACAAAUCCAUUUGCCCCCAGCUGCUGAUCCAAUUGUGGCAGCACCAAAUUAGCAUGAAAUAAUCCACCCUCGGAUAUAUGUAUAUACAUAUAUCUUUUGUGCAUCCAUCGCUUGACCUCCCGCAUGAGCGUCUUUUUUAAUGGUCUUGCACAAAAAUAAGUUGCCAAAGUAAACAAAAGUGCAGCUCCGAUUUCCUUGCGGUGGGUCCACAACUACGAAGGCUGGAUGAAGUCGCUCCCCAACAAGGGACUGCACUUUGCUCCCGAACAAGGGCCAUCAACUCAUCCCAUGCUGCGCGAAAAACUCUGCGCACAGCCUGAGACGCAAAAAAGAGAAAUUUGCAAAACCAGGAUGAGGUAGCCAUGAAAUUUUAAUGCCGUAAUUAUGUCAGCCCCUUGAUGACAAAUCUCGAACGAUCGCCGCGAAAAGGGUGCCGCUGCAGAGCGUCACAUGUGGCCAACGAGCUAAUUAAAGACUGGCGACGAAAAUGGAGGACUCUUUGUUUACUCAGCCCCGAAGAACAGACUCGAAAGAGGCUCAGUUUUCACAGCAGAAAUCAUUGAAGGGAAACCGACACAAAAUUGAGAUUUACAUGAAUUUUGCUACAAAAGCUGAUUCGGUUACACAAACCAGCAGGCGAAUCGCUUCCUAGUUUGUCAAGAAACCAGCGGGAACGAUAAAAACAUAUUGACAAUUUCACAAUCGGCCCAAAUAAAAGUGAAACAGAUGGGCGGAGACCGGAGAAAUGUUGCAACAUGGCACAUGGCUUGACAACCACAUGGAUGUGUUCCUGCUGGUGUUUUUAGAUGUUACUCCGAAGACCCUGACAACAGCAAUAUGUCAAAUGUCAAUUCAGCUCAGAUGCGACCGAAAAACAAUACCGAAUGCAUGCCAGACGAACAUUUUUCACAUGCUGAAAGAAAUUGCGUCAAGUGUGGUUUUUCUUGUCAUAAAGUGAAAGUCGAAAUCAUGCGUAAUUACCGCUCCAUAAAAUGCGGAACAGUCUACUCGCGCCAUAAGAUAAAACCGAUCGAUCAAGUGCGCCACAAGCUGGGGGCAUAAAGACAGGCGACAAAAAACUAAAAACUGGAAACCUACGCAGCCACUCGUUGCGUGCAACUAUCCAUCCACUAGCCCUCACUCCACGCUUGUCAAUGGCGUUUAACGCUUGUCCGUGUACAAAUUGGUAAAUCAUUCCAAUGACAAGACAUACAGAAUUGUAAAAAUUGGCCAAAAGAAACAUCAUCGAACACUUAAUACUCUUUAAGAUAAGUAAAAAUGACUUUUUCAGUAAAUUACAUUGCGAAUUAGUAUUUUGGGACA